rnacentral:lncRNA from 1 species
UUUAUCCAGCGAUUGUCAUUGUUCAUGAUAAUACUUAAUUGAGACUCAAGAUUCAAGAAUACCAAAAAAGACAAUUUUUUUCUUUAUUUACCAUGUACGGCAUACAAUUGCAUUUAAAGUGUGAUACAUUAGAGAGGAAUGGUAUUGAAAAGGUACCUUUAAUCAAGCUAACAAAAUCCUUGCAAGUCUUCUCCUUCACAAGUGUCACACGCUUUCAAGUUUUCUUCUCUCUACGCCAUAUAAAUCAUUUAUAAGUUCACAAGUGUACGUCUCAUAAAAAAACACCAUGGAAAGUAUAUGUAUGCAACAAACAGAAAACAUAUUGGGACUGGUACAAAGCCAUGGGUUUAUAACUGAGAAGAACUGUACAAACUAGCAAGCUGCUGCGCGUGCCCUGCUGCUUGGUUUUGGUUUUUUCUCUUUGUUUUUCUACGGUGUGAUCAGUUUUGCUUGUUGCUAACUGUUUGGGACUCUCUAACCUAACGAUGCUUAGGCAUGCUGACCAGGGUGUAUUCUUUCUCUUAUUCUUGAGAAGAUGAGUGGACCAUGAUAAAACACCAUAUAAUCCUGCCGAAUUGGCUCUGUGCGCUCCCCAUCCAUUGGUACCUACCUAUAUUAUUAUAAGGAGAAAAGUGGGACUGCGAGGGAGUGUAUUACUGUUAGUGCAAAAAGGAAAUUUACUAACUGAUUAUUUUUUAAGGAAAAAACGACGCUGUAUAAAAACGAGUAGCAAUGUACAGUUAGUGCAAUGUAAUGUUGUACUAUUCUAGUUGACAUUUUGCAAUGUAUUAUUGCUAUACCACAACAAUGUCUUGCGCAAGAAAUCAAUAACAAGGACUACUACAAGUAAAUUCCUAAAUACAAAUAAACCCAAGAAGCAGAAGUCAAAAAACAUUGUUUACAGAAAAUCAAAUUAUCUGAACUAUAACAAUUAAAUUAAAAAAAAUUCAGGAAUUAGUGAAGCUGAAGAAAAUCAGAUUAUGGGUGGAUUUUUGGGGCUUUCAAUCAAUUAUCAAGAAAAUCUCAAUUUUGUAACUUUAAACUUAUAAAGCCAUGAUUUUGAUACCAAACCCCACAUAUACAAGCAAGUAAAAGAAAAAAAAAAAUCAAAAUCACUCAUUAUAGUUACCAAUAGUUACCACAAAGAAUAUGAAAAACUUUUCUGAGCAACGACAGUUUUUUAUUUAUAGAAAGAGAACUCGAACUGAGAAAUCGUCUGAUUAUAGUGCUAUUGAGAUGAUUAAAAAGAAAGAAACAAUUGAAUUAAUCUUACCAGUAAUCUUACAAUUGAAAGAAUUGAAUUAUAGUUACCACAAUUGAAUUAAUCUUACAAUUGAAAGAAACAAUUGGAUUAUACUGCUAUUGAGAUCUUACCAGUAAUCUUCUGGUGGUGGUGGCGGUGGCGGUGGCGGUGGAGUUUGAGAAGAGAAAAGAGAAAAGAAGAAUUGAUAUAAUCAGCGAAUUGAAGAGGAUGUAGUUAUGGAGUUUGAGAAGGAGAAAGGGGAGUUUCAUAGAGCUUUGCUCGAGUUAGGAGAUAACUUCCUUCGGCAUCACACCAACUGAUUUUCGUUUGCAACCCUUCUUCUAAUCACGCAAUAAAAA